rnacentral:rRNA from 1 species
UUGGAGGGCAAGUCUGGUGCCAGCAGCCGCGGUAAUUCCAGCUCCAAUAGCGUAUAUUAAAGUUGUUGCAGUUAAAAAGCUCGUAGUUGAAUUUCGGGAUUGACGUGAUGGUCAUGCCUUAAGGGGUAUGAACUGUUACUGUUGAUUUCUCACCUUCUGGAGAAACUUGAUGUCCUUUAUUGGGUGUCUUGCGGAUCCAGGACCUUUACCUUGAAAAAAUUAGAGUGUUUAAAGCAGGCAUUUUUGCUCGAAUACAUUAGCAUGGAAUAAUAGAAUAGGACGGCAUGGUUCUAUUUUGUUAGUUUCUAGGAUCACCGUAAUGAUUAAUAGGGAUAGUUGGGGGCAUUAGUAUUCAAUUGUCAGAGGUGAAAUUCUUGGAUUUAUUGAAGACUAACUACUGCGAAAGCAUUUGCCAAGGAUGUUUUCAUUAAUCAAGAACGAAAGUUAGGGGAUCGAAGACGAUCAGAUACCGUCGUAGUCUUAACCAUAAACUAUGCCGACUAGGAAUCAGACGAUGUUAAUUUUUUAAUGACUCGUUUGGCACCUUACGGGAAACCAAAG